rnacentral:rRNA from 1 species
GACGAACGCUGGCGGCGUGCCUAAUACAUGCAAGUCGAACGCAGGGGGGACGGGUGAGUAACACGUGGGUAACCUCCCAUAAGAGGGGAUAACACUUGGAAACAGGUGCUAAACCGAUACUGAUGGAUGAACCCGCGGUGCAUUAGCUAGUUGGUGGGGUAAAGGCUCACCUAGGCGACGAUCUCUAGCUGUUCGGAGAGAGUGAUCAGCCACACUGGUACGGAGAAACGGCCCAGACUCCUACGGGAGGCAGCAGUGGGGAAUAUUGCACAAUGGGCGCAAGCCGGAUGCAGCCAUGCCGCGUGUAUGAAGAAGGCCUUAGGGUUGUAAAGUACUGUCAGCGGGGAGGCGUUACCCGCAGAAGAAGCACCGGCUAACUCCGUGCCAGCAGCCGCGGUAAUAC